rnacentral:tRNA from 1 species
ACCCUUGAGGUCGCUUCAGGUCUACAUCCUGAGGUUAAUAACCACUAACCCUGACCUAAACUCCUAAGGGGAAGGUAGCAGGUUCGAGUCCUGCCGGGGGUACCA